rnacentral:rRNA from 1 species
UACGGGGGGGCAAGCGUUGUUCGGAAUUACUGGGCGUAAAGGGCUCGUAGGCGGCCAACUAAGUCAUACGUGAAAUCCCUCGGCUUAACCGGGGAACUGCGUCUGAUACUGGAUGGCUUGAGUUCGGGAGAGGGAUGCGGAAUCCAGGUGUAGCGGUGAAAAUGCGUAGAUAUCUGGAGGAACACCGGUGGCGAAGGCAGCCCCCUGGGCUGAGAUUGAACGCUC